rnacentral:lncRNA from 10 species
UUGGGAGGCCGAGGCGGGAGGAUUGCUUUAGCCCAAGAGUUCGAGACCAGCCUGGGCAACAUAGCAAAACCUGUCUCUACAAAAAAAUACAAAAAUUAGUCGAGUGUGGUGGCACAUGCCUGUAAUCCCAGUUACUGGGGAGGCUGACAUGAGAGGAUCACUUGGGCCUGGGAGGCAGAGGCUGCAAUAAGCCAAGAUUGUACCACUGCACUCCAGCCUGGGCGACAGAGCCAGACACUGUAUUUAAAAAAAAAAAAAAGAAGAAGAAGAAUGAAAGAAGGAAGAAGAACGAUGAAGGAAGAAGAAGGAGAAGAAGGAAGAAGAAAGAAGAAGGAAGAAGACCCAUAUAAUGAGGAGACUAUGUUUCCCUCAAGCCACACAGCCAGUGUGUGGUGAAGCUGGAAUUUGUUGCCGGCUGAAU